rnacentral:rRNA from 1 species
AGUGAACGCUGGCGGUAGGCCUAACACAUGCAAGUCGAACGGCAGCACAGUAAGAGCUUGCUCUUACGGGUGGCGAGUGGCGGACGGGUGAGGAAUACAUCGGAAUCUACUUUUUCGUGGGGGAUAACGUAGGGAAACUUACGCUAAUACCGCAUACGACCUACGGUUGAAAGCAGGGGAUCUUCGGACCUUGCGCGAUUGAAUGAGCCGAUGUCGGAUUAGCUAGUUGGCGGGGUAAAGGCCCACCAAGGCGACGAUCCGUAGCUGGUCUGAGAGGAUGAUCAGCCGCACUGGAACUGAGACACGGUCAAGGGGCCUACGGGAGGCAGCAGUGGGGAAUAUUGGACAGUGGGCGCAAGCCUGAUCCAGCCGUACCGCGUGGGUGAAGAAGGCCUUCGGGUUGUAAAGCCCUUUUGUUGGGAAAGAAAAGCAGCAGGUUAAUACCCCGCUGUUCUGACGGUACCCAAAGAAUAAGCACCGGCUAACUUCGUG